rnacentral:rRNA from 1 species
CUGGAACGCGCCCCAGGCGCACCCAGAAACCCUUUGUGAACUUAUACCUUACUGUUGCCUCGGCGCAUGCCGGCCCCCCCGGGGGCCCCUCGGAGACGAGGAGCAGGCACGCCGGCGGCCAAGUUAACUCUUGUUUUUACACUGAAACUCUGAGAAAAAAAACACAAAUGAAUCAAAACUUUCAACAACGGAUCUCUUGGUUCUGGCAUCGAUGAAGAACGCAGCGAAAUGCGAUAAGUAAUGUGAAUUGCAGAAUUCAGUGAAUCAUCGAAUCUUUGAACGCACAUUGCGCCCUCUGGUAUUCCGGAGGGCAUGCCUGUUCGAGCGUCAUUUCAACCCUCAAGCAUUGCUUGGUGUUGGGGCACUGCCUGUAAAAGGGCAGGCCCUGAAAUCUAGUGGCGAGCUCGCCAGGACCCCGAGCGCAGUAGUUAAACCCUCGCUUUGGAAGGCCCUGGCGGUGCCCUGCCGUUAAACCCCCAACUUCUGAAAAU